rnacentral:rRNA from 1 species
UAAUUUUAUUUUAUUUAUAUUUAGGUAUUGCAUAUCAUUUAAAGAAAAUUUUAUAGAGUAAUAAUUAAUAGAAUUGGAAGGUAGAAAAAUUUGUUAUUUUUAUUGUUUCAUAAUAAAAAUUAUGAUUUUUAGGGUUGAAAAGUCGACUUUUAAGAUAUCUGUGUAAGUGUUUUAAUUAGAAAUUUAUUAUUUUUAUAUUUAUUAAAUAUUAUAAAAAGUAAAAGUUGAAGUAUUUAUAUUUUUAGUUUUAUAACAGUUUAUGUAAAUUAAUUAAAUGAGAUUGUUUGUAGUUUAUAAUAAUAUUUUAUUAUAUAAAUUAUUUUGAAAUUAGUAGUUUUAAUUUUAAUAGGUUGGUUAUUAAUAAUUUAAUUAAAAAACUCAGAAAUUAAUCAAAUGUUUUUUAAAGACUUAGACUUUCAGGUUAAAGUUUGCUUCUGCCCAGUGACGUUAGUUAAAUGGCAGUCUUAGCGUGAGGACAUUAAGGUAGCAAAAUAAUUUGUGCUUUUAUUGAGUUCCAGUAUGAAUGAAGUUAUUGGUUAAUUAAUUUUUUAAUUUUAAAAUGAAUUUUUAAUCAGUAUAAAAAAGUAUUGAUAUAAUAAAACAAAGAUAAGUCUUCGGAAAUUCUUUUUCAAAAGUAAUUUUAUAAAUUAUUUUUGAAAAUUUUCUAGGGCAGAAUUUUAUAUAAUUAUUUUAUCUAUUAUUAAUUUAGGGAAUUACUCCGGAGUUAACAGAAAAUCAUAUCUAAUCUAGUUCUUAUAGUAAGAUAAGUUUUACAUCGAUGUUGUAUUUAAAUAAAUUAAAAAAGGAGAAGAUUUAAAUUUUAAGACUGUUCUUCUUUAAAUUAAUUUAACGUGAUAUUAGUUUAAUUCAUUGUGAGAUAGAAUUGUUUAUCUUGUUUAUUAUUACGAAAGAAAUUUAAUAGUACGAAAGGAAAAUUAAAAGAAGUUUAAAACUUUUUAAGAUAAAGCUUG